rnacentral:lncRNA from 1 species
CUUUUUUUUUCUUUUUUUUUUUUAGCAGGAUCAACCUCGAUUCUUCUUUUCCGCUCACAAUAAGCCCCAACAACUAACCGGCCCGCACUCUGAUAGUGCGCUUAUUCGAAUUCAACCUCAGUCUGAAUUAUCUCAACCGGUCAAACGACUUGCCCCGGUCUGCCAGAUGCCCCUCUUCUGUUUGGGACUUUGCUAUCAUGUC